CAAAGAACUUUGAAGAGAGAGUUCAAGAGAAUGUGAAACCACGUGGGGCUAAGCGGAUAGAGUUGACGAAACUGGCAGUGUUCAGUAGUCCUGAUCGGGUUUCGAUUCGUGAUGGUCUGCGCAUUCAUUGUUGGUACGUGCUGGGACGUUUGGCGAGCCCUUCUGAAGGCUUCAGAGUCACCCAAGCUUCGGCCUGGUAGUGUUUUGUUGUCGGAAGUUGAUGUGCUUGCUAAGCGUAAUGUUGGCCAUGCCUCUGCGCGUUCGGCUGUUGGUUAGCGCUCUGCUUGGUAGUCGGACAUGUCUGGCUGCCUUGUACGUGUGUUGAUCAGUGGUCGCUCGCCUAUGGUCCAAUCCCGGUAUGUGAAAGUCGACCACCUAUCCGACCCGUCUUGAAACACGGACCAAGAAGUCUAGUAUGUACGCGAGUCAUUGGGUAUCAAAACCUAUUGGCGCAAUAAAUGUGAAGGGCGGCUUGUUCGUCUGAUAUGUGAUCCGUCAGUUUCGGCUGGCGGCGCAACAUAGUCCCAUGCCUACUGCUUGCAGUGGUGUGGAGAUGGAGCGUACACACUAGGACCCGAAAGAUGGUGAACUAUGCCUGAGCAGGACGAAGUCAGAGGAAACUCUGAUGGAAGUCCGAAGCGGUUCUGACGUGCAAAUCGAUCGUCGGACUCGGGUAUAGGGGCGAAAGACUAAUCGAACCAUC
rnacentral:rRNA from 1 species